UACAGAGGGCCCAAGCGUUACUGAGAAUCACUGGGUUUAAAGGGUGCGUAGGUGGUCCGUUAAGUCAGUUGUGAAAUCCCCGGGCUCAACCCGGGAACUGCUUCUGAUACUGGCGGACUUGAGGCCAGUAGGGGUCACUAGAACUGACGGUGGAGCGGUGAAAUGCGUAGAUAUCAGGAGGAACACCGGUGGCGAAGGCGGGUCUCUGGGCCGAUACUGACGCUGAGGAGCGAAAGCGUGGGGAGCAAAUGGG
rnacentral:rRNA from 1 species